AGUGAACGCUGGCGGUAGGCCUAACACAUGCAAGUCGAACGGCAGCACAGUAAUAGCUUGCUCUUACGGGUGGCGAGUGGCGGACGGGUGAGGAAUACAUCGGAAUCUACUUUUUCGUGGGUGAUAACGUAGGGAAACUUACGCUAAUACCGCAUACGACCUACGGGUGAAAGCAGGGGAUCUUCGGACCUUGCGCGAUUGAAUGAGCCGAUGUCGGGUUAGCUAGUUGGCGGGGUAAAGGCCCACCAAGGCGACGAUCCGUAGCUGGUCUGAGAGGAGGAUCAGCACCACGGGAACUGGGACACGGUCCAGACCCCUACGGGAGGCAGCAGUGGGGAAUAUUGGACAAUGGGCGAAAGCUUAAUCCAGCCAUACGGCGUGGGUGAAGAAGGCCUUCGGGUUGUAAAGCCCUUUUGUUGGGAAAGAAAAGAAGAAGGUUAAUACCCCGCUGUUCUGACGGUACCCAAAGAAUAAGCACCGGCUAACUUCGU
rnacentral:rRNA from 1 species